AGAAUGUACACCUGGCCAGACAAAGAAACAAGACUGCAACACGUGUACUUGCACCCCCACUGGAGUCUGGGCCUGCACACGCAAGGGCUGCCAGCCCGUUAAGAGACGGGUUCCUUCCGAAUCCAGGCUGUUGCUGAAGAAUAUCAGCAGUUAGUAACACCUGUAGUGGCACCAGCGAAGUAUGCCUUCUACUGUUCUCGAGACCAUUUCAGCAUGUCAUGCAGCUUCUGUGAAGUCCAUCUCCACCGAAAACAUUUACUUUAAUUUGAAAUUUUUCUGUUUCAUUUUGUAAAUAACAAAAAAAUUCAUAAGCA